rnacentral:rRNA from 1 species
GAUGAACGCUAGCGGCAGGCUUAACACAUGCAAGUCGAGGGGCAGCAUGGGACGGAGAUUCGUCGAAGUCCUGAUGGCGACCGGCGCAAGGGUGCGUAACGCGUGAGCAACUUGCCCGUUUCUGGGGGAUAACCGGUGGAAACGCCGACUAAUACCCCAUAGUAUUGGAUUUAGGCAUCUUUAUCCAAUUAAAGAAUUUCGGAAACGGAUAGGCUCGCGUGACAUUAGCUAGAUGGCGGGGUAACGGCCCACCAUGGCGACGAUGUCUAGGGGUUCUGAGAGGAAGGUCCCCCACAUUGGAACUGAGACACGGUCCAAACUCCUACGGGAGGCAGCAGUGAGGAAUAUUGGUCAAUGGUCGGAAGACUGAACCAGCCAAGUAGCGUGAAGGAUGACUGCCCUACGGGUUGUAAACUUCUUUUGUUGGGAAUAAAGACGCUACGUGUAGCGUUCUGCAUGUACCUUACGAAUAAGCAUCGGCUAAUUCCGUGCCAGCAGCCGCGGU